rnacentral:rRNA from 1 species
UACGAAGGGGGCUAGCGUUGUUCGGAUUUACUGGGCGUAAAGGGCUCGUAGGCGGCCAACUAAGUCAGACGUGAAAUCCCUCGGCUUAACCGGGGAACUGCGUCUGAUACUGGAUGGCUUGAAUCCGGGAGAGGGAUGCGGAAUUCCAGGUGUAGCGGUGAAAUGCGUAGAUAUCUGGAGGAACACCGGUGGCGAAGGCGGCAUCCUGGACCGGUAUUGACGCUGAGUGAGCGAAAGCCAGGGGAGCAAACGGG